UAUGCUGUUGACUAAUAGGUAAGUCAUAAAUUUUUGGUAUUUACUAAUGAGUGUUCGAAUCACUCCAGCAUAA
rfam:Trichoderma gamsii strain T6085 Scaffolds0188.1, whole genome shotgun sequence.